CAGUAGCCGCGGGAAUACGAAGGGGGCUAGCGUUGCUCGGAAUGACUGGGCGUAAAGGGCGCGUAGGCGGUUUUGACAGUCAGAUGUGAAAUUCCUGGGCUUAACCUGGGGGCUGCAUUUGAGACGUCAAGACUAGAGUGUGAGAGAGGGUUGUGGAAUUCCCAGUGUAGAGGUGAAAUUCGUAGAUAUUGGGAAGAACACCGGUGGCGAAGGCGGCGACCUGGUCCUUGACUGACGCUGAGGCGCGAAAGCGUGGGGAGCAAACAGGAUUAGAUACCCCCGUAGUCCCUGUCUCUUAUAC
rnacentral:rRNA from 1 species